rnacentral:rRNA from 1 species
GAUGAACGCCGGCGGUGUGCCUAAUACAUGCAAGUCGUACGCACUGGCCCAACUGAUUGAUGGUGCUUGCACCUGAUUGACGAUGGAUCACCAGUGAGUGGCGGACGGGUGAGUAACGCGUGGGUAACCUGCCUCAUACAGGGGGAUAACAGUUAGAAAUGACUGCUAAUACCGCAUAAGACCACAGCACCGCAUGGUGCAGGGGUAAAAACUCCGGUGGUAUGAGAUGGACCCGCGUCUGAUUAGGUAGUUGGUGGGGUAACGGCCUACCAAGCCGACGAUCAGUAGCCGACCUGAGAGGGUGACCGGCCACAUUGGGACUGAGACACGGCCCAA